AUUGAACGCUGGCGGCAGGCCUAACACAUGCAAGUCGAGCGGAUGAAGGGAGCUUGCUCCUGGAUUCAGCGGCGGACGGGUGAGUAAUGCCUAGGAAUCUGCCUGGUAGUGGGGGAUAACGUCCGGAAACGGGCGCUAAUACCGCAUACGUCCUGAGGGAGAAAGUGGGGGAUCUUCGGACCUCACGCUAUCGGAUGAGCCUAGGUCGGAUUAGCUAGUUGGUGGGGUAAAGGCCUACCAAGGCGACGAUCCGUAACUGGUCUGAGAGGAUGAUCAGUCACACUGGAACUGAGACACGGUCCAGACUCCUACGGGAGGCAGCAGUGGGGAAUAUUGGACAAUGGGCGAAAGCCUGAUCCAGCCAUGCCGCGUGUGUGAAGAAGGUCUUCGGAUUGUAAAGCACUUUAAGUUGGGAGGAAGGGCAGUAAGUUAAUACCUUGCUGUUUUGACGUUACCAACAGAAUAAGCAUCGGCUAACUUCGUG
rnacentral:rRNA from 1 species